UACGUAGGGUGCGAGCGUUGUCCGGAAUUACUGGGCGUAAAGAGCUCGUAGGUGGUUUGUCGCGUUUGUCCGUGAAAACUCACAGCUUAACUGUGGGCGUGCGGGCGAUACGGGGCAGACUGGAGUACUGCAGGGGAGACUGGAAUUCCUGGUGUAGCGGUGGAAUGCGCAGAUAUCAGGAGGAACACCGGUGGCGAAGGCGGGUCUCUGGGCCGAUACUGACGCUGGAGGAGCGAAAGCGUGGGGAGCGAACAGG
rnacentral:rRNA from 1 species